UGGUUGCUGUGAUGACAAUCUUAGGACACCUUUGGAUUAACCGUGAAAAGAAAUAUAUUCUGAGCAAUCA
rnacentral:snoRNA from 1 species